rnacentral:rRNA from 1 species
UACGAAGGGAGCUAGCGUUACUCGGAAUUAUUGGGCGUAAAGCGUGCGUAGGCGGCCAAGACAGUUGAAUGUGAAAGCCCAGGGCUCAACCCUGGAAUAGCAUCCAAUACUACUUGGCUUGAGUGUCAGAGGGGAUAGUGGAAUUCCUAGUGUAGAGGUGAAAUUCGUAGAUAUUAGGAGGAACACCGGUGGCGAAAGCGACUAUCUGGCUGACAACUGACGCUGUUGCACGAAAGCGUGGGGAGCAAACAGG